AUGCCCAUGGGCACCAACAGGCACACUGAAAUGCUUUUACAGAGAUCUUCAAUACAGCCCUUCUUUGAUCUGCAAAGCAGCUGCUUGAUUCUGGCUUAUAAAGGGCAGACCAAGGUCUUACCAGUGCAGUACCUCAGUAGCAGAAAAGAUGCAUGGUUUAUUCUACUUCUUUUCUUUUCUUUUCUUUCUUUCUCUUUCUCAAAGAUCUGGUAUAUCAGGACAAGCUUGAAAAUACCAGAGUGAAACAAAACUUCAUUCUCUCCUCCCUAAAGAUUUCAUUCAGUUGAAGGCUUCUUUUCAUUGUGAUCUACAGCUGUCACUAAAAACCAGGCUUAAGCUACAGACAAUCUGACCUCUUUGGUAAUAUUCAGAACUAGACAUGGGUCCACAUCAUCUUGUACUGAUCAAAUGUUUUCAUCUGAUGCAUUCACUCAGGUCAGUUUUCUCUGUAUCAUUGACAUCAUCUGAAGCAUAGUACCAGCUAUUAUCAUUUUUAUAAUACAAGCAACUCACCACAAUAGAGUAAACUGCUUUAUUAUCACUUCACAGACAGAGAACUUGAAAAACUCAAUAUACCAGGUGCUGUGUACUGCCAUAGCAUAGCUAAACGAGUCCCAAAGUGUUUAAAUUUCAAUAGGCAAGACAGAAAAUGAAAUAGUUUAUCAGCAGUUCAAUGUUUCCAGGAGAGAUAAGUGGCCAGCCUACAGACAUAGGGGAUAAUGAAUGGCGGCCUUCUGUAUCUUGGGUCAGGCUUUUAAAAGCAAGAACAAACAUCCUUGGAGAUGCUCAACUGUAACAAGAUAGUAAUACUUUCACAUACAAUAUUCUCAUGCAAUAUUCUGUCAUCAAGCAGCCUGUAAGCUAAAGAAUUGCUUGAUAUAGUCCCAUAGUUUGUCACAAAAGCAGGGGCGUUACAGAAGAUUUCAAGUAUAACAGAACUUUGAACUUGGUGAACACUCCAAGAAUGUUUAAUAUAUUUUGUUGCACCACAAAAGACUUCAGUUAGUGUAUAACUGAAUUAGUCUAAAAAUUUACCUCCCUUUCCUCUGCUGUCUUUUAUGUAGAUACUUUUUUUCCAGAAUAUGCUACUGUAUGUGUAACCUACUGCCUAUGAAAGCUGAACUGUGAGCCUUAAGCACCAUUCCACAAUUUAGAAUUCCUGCAAAAAUAUUGACUGAUUUAUUUUAUGAGCAUUUUUCCCCCGGCAGCAAUCACAACCACUUCACUCUCAGAAACUACUUGUACAAAUGGCCUGUCUUUAUUCCACACACUGUCAGCUGGUUGAUACGUCGAUAUGGGAGAAAUCCUUACAAUUUCAGUUUUGAUGCUGCCAGAAACAUUUAAUCUAGUCAUUCAAAAAUCAAUAAUUGCUUUGGCUGAAACAAGUUAUUGAAAAAAAUAAUAAUAACAACAAGAAACAUGGCAGAAAAGCAAAGAACAGUGGUUUGCCUAUGAAUUAUUUCCUGAAGUGCUCCUACCCAUCCAACCAGAAUAAGAAUAAUCUGUUUCCUACUCCAGUUUUUUCACUCGUUCCUCCAGUCCCCCCACUGCAUGACCAAUUGGUUGCCACCAAGAAACAAGCAAAAUAGCUGACUUCUGCUAACCUCUUCUCUAAUGCAGGACUUGAUCAAACGCCUCCCCUUGUAUCACGCCACCAAUUUUCAAGAUCUCUGAAACUGCCUGAAGACACAGUCACUGUUUCAAGUUUUGAAUGACAUCCGCAAUUCUAGUUUAACCAAAAACACCAAAUUUAUUCAGUUUUAAAAAUAACUGUUCAUUACUUCCUAACUUAAGUCCUUACCUAAGAAAAAAAAGACUCAUGAAAUUUUGUUGUCUCCUGGUUUUGUCUGGCCAUCCAUUUUCACAGUGUUUUUAAAACCUCAGGGGAAUUUCAAUUAACGUGGGCUGCUUUCACCUACAAAGUUUCUACAGACUUAAGAGGAGGUGGUGGCUUGAAAAGAGGAAGGAACAUGAAUUAGACCCUUCACUGCGGGAACAACCACUAUAUAUCCAAUUGGAUCCUGCAUUUAACUUACUGAAGGCAGUUUGUCUUGGAUGUAUGUAUAGCUCUGCAUCAGAAAGGAAAAUGGGGCUUACUGCAGAAGAGAAGCAAAGUUUAUGGUUCUUAGCUAGUUAUGAAACUAAAUUCACCACUUGUUUUCCUUAGAACAUAAUUCCAUUUAGGAAAAAUAAUUAAUGUUAUAUAUUUGUUGGUUGUUACAAUUCAAUUUUGCUUCUAUUCUGUAAGCUCCUUCCGUGACUUCCAUAUUGUUCCUUCAAAUUUCUGAAUCUUUAAGGCUAAUGUUCUACCAUUUUACCUUGAUCAUUUAUCUGGCAUAAAGGAUUUAGAUCAGUGAACUACCAUAAGAAAAAGAAAGGAAAAUAAUUAGAGCAACAUUCUCCAAUAAAAACUCCACAAUUCAGGAAAAGACUAAAUUA
rnacentral:lncRNA from 1 species